UCCCUGGUGGUCCAGUGGUUAAAACACCUCGCUUCUACUGCAGGGGGCACAGGUUCAAUCCCUGGUCAGGGAA
rfam:TPA: Bos taurus chromosome 17, whole genome shotgun sequence.